CCGGCUGCCGGGCGCCCGUUACGAAUUGUCGGCCCCGCUCCGCCGGCCCCACGCGGAGCCCCCGGGCUCCCCCGACCCUGGGGAUGCUGCUCCGGUCCUGGGGGGGCUGCCUGGCCCCGGGGUCCCUCUGCCUGCCAGGGUGAUGCCCUGGAACAGAAGCAGCAGACGAGGAUUUUCAGGCAGGAUAAAUGGAAACCAGGCUGUUUUCCCGCGGGGUGUUGUUAAGCCGGGCUGAUGGAGCUCAGAGCUGCGGCGGGGACCUCCCUGGCCACGUGCUGGAGCAGCCUGAGCAUCCCUGCCCGCAGCCGCCUCCAUCUGUGCCGCGUUUGACCGGAGGGGAGGUCGACCAUCCUAGAACCUGCCAGAAAGACGAGAAAACCUGCUGGAAACAGUGAGCUUUGUUGCAAUAUGAAAAUCGAAUGCAAAGCUGGGUGGGUAUUUUUAGCCGUUUAAGGCUGCACAGGUGUUUGAAAGGUCAGAUGCGAGUCAUUGGAAAAAAAAAGACAUAUAUAUAUAUAUACAUAUUGAGAGCCUGGCAGCGUGGUGGUGUCACUCCCGUGGCACUGGAUGACUGUGGCUUGGCGACCGUUGGCCAUUCAAUGGUCAGCCCAUGUCUGAUGGGUGUUUUGGGUUGUGUUCACCACCCCAAGACCCCCGAUAAGUGCAAGACAGCAUCAGCACCCAACCAGGAUCUCAUUGUUGGCUUUGGUUGCUCCGUUCCUGAGAGAGGUGGGGUUGAGAGAUAUGGGGACGCCUGGGGUUGAUUUGGAGCUGGUCUGGAUGGGCCAAGGUCUUGUGUGUCCUCCCCACAAGGCAGGAGUCUAGAAAGCCUUCCUUCCCAUGCUGAGCCUUGCAGCAUUUUCUCUUCCAUGAGAAAAUGUAUUUCUUUUUCUCUUUUCAAACAAUAAAGGAAGUUUGUCACCCUUAAAA